rnacentral:rRNA from 1 species
GAUGAACGCUAGCUACAGGCUUAACACAUGCAAGUCGAGGGGCAGCAUGGUCUUAGCUUGCUAAGGCCGAUGGCGACCGGCGCACGGGUGAGUAACACGUAUCCAACCUGCCGUCUACUCUUGGACAGCCUUCUGAAAGGAAGAUUAAUACAAGAUGGCAUCAUGAGUCCGCAUGUUCACAUGAUUAAAGGUAUUCCGGUAGACGAUGGGGAUGCGUUCCAUUAGAUAGUAGGCGGGGUAACGGCCCACCUAGUCUUCGAUGGAUAGGGGUUCUGAGAGGAAGGUCCCCCACAUUGGAACUGAGACGCGGUCCAAACUCCUACGGGAGGCAGCAGUGAGGAAUAUUGGUCAAUGGGCGAGAGCCUGAACCAGCCAAGUAGCGUGAAGGAUGACUGCCCUAUGGGUUGUAAACUUCUUUUAUAAAGGAAUAAAGUCGGGUAUGGAUACCCGUUUGCAUGUACUUUAUGAAUAAGGAUCGGCUAACUCCGUG